rnacentral:lncRNA from 1 species
CUGGGGCUGGGGUUGGGGGCAUGGGUUGGGGGUGCUAGUGGCCACGGAAAAGUUAGUUACCUAUGCGUGUGUAUGUGUACGCGCACGCGCGCGUGUGUGUUGGUCAGAAAACUUUCAGAGCUGUGGUUCUCAAACUUGAUCUGCAGCAGGACUCCCUGGAAGGCUUGCUAAAUCCCUUUGCUGGGCCCCACCUCCAGAGUUUCUGAUUCAGUAGGUGGACCUGGGAAUUUGCAUUUCAAAUAGGUUCCCAGGUGAUGCUGAUGCUGCAGGUCAGGGGCCACGUUUUAAAAACUACCUUUCCAGGGCAGUGAGAAGGCAAAUGUUGAGUUGGUGGCAAAUUGGAUUCCCUUCUUAUUUUUUAGGAAUGAAGCACAGGUUGUGAGCGGUCAUCCAUUCCGUAUCUUCAUUGCAGCUGAGAAAACCAAGUCCCAGCAGGGCUAAGCCAUUUGUUUAAAGUGAACUGGGAGUUUGUGCCAAGCUGGUGAGGAAGCUGUCCUGGAAAUAAGACAGCCAGGCUAGUAGUAGGGUGAAUGGGGGUGCUGCCUUCCCUGUGUGGCUGGACAGCUGCACUGGGAGUCAGGAAGCCACUGUGACUUUGGAAAGUCACUUAACUUUUCUGGGCCUCUGGGGGUUUUGUGUGUGUGUGUGUGUGUGUGUGUGUGUGUGUGUGUGUGUGUGUGUGUGUUUGUUUGUUUGUUUGUUUUUUGACAGAGUCUCACUCUGUCGCCCAGGCUAGAGUGUAGUGGUGCAAUCUCGGCUCACUGCAAAGUCUGCCUCCUGAAUUCGAGAGAUUCUCCAGUGUCAGCCUCCCAAGCAGCUGGGAUUACAAGCACCUGCCACCAUGCGCGGCUAAUUUUUGUAUUUUUAGUAGAGACGGAGUUUCACCAUGUUGUCCAGGCUGGUCUUGAACACCUAGCCUCAAGUGAUCUGCCCACCUUGGCCUCCCAAAGUGCUAAAAUUACAGGCGUGAGCCACCUCACCCGGCCCUGUUUUGUUUUUUAUUAACUUGUUUCUUGUCAGUAAACAUACAUACUUUACACUGAGUAUAGGACUCUAAUUGAAUCUGAACCAAAAGACCUUUACAAAGGAAACAUAAAUGUAUUUUAUUCCAUAUUUUGCACUAUUUUUUCUCCGGUAUUUAGUCAUUCAGGCAGAAGCCAAUUUCCUUUUUGAUUUAUCGAGUACUUUCAGCUCUGUGCCUGGAUUCUUAGGCAUGUUCCUCUGGCAAAAUGGAUCUGGAGGAUGAUGCAUUUUCAGCAAGAAGGUGAAAAGGACUCUGAACUCUCUCUGUGCAUUAUCCACCUACAUUUCCUUUUCCUACUUAAUCAUCCUAAUUUUCCUUCCCUUUUAAUCUCUAACAAUCUCCCCCAACAUUCUCAAAGACCUAUUUUUCUUUCCAGUCAUUGACUAUAUUAGCUUCCACUUUCUUUUGUCCUCCUUCCAAGGCACAAUUCUGGACUACAAGGCCUGGGGUCCACCCUGGGUACAGAACUUUUAAUUCCCCCAAGGGAAUGGGUCAACCAGCUUCCUCUGCAGUGAUAACACUCCUUCUCCCCAGGGACCCAAGCAGCGUAUCCAGCCUUCUGUUUUUCAAAGAUGAUUCCAAGUACCGCUCAAUGAGAACGUGAUGCAUGAAGAUGGAGUCUGGCUCUCUCACCCAGGCUGGAGUGCGGUGGCAUGAUCUCAGCUCACUGCAACCUCCACCUCCCCGAUUCAAGCGAUUCUCCCUGCCUCAGCCUCCCGUGUAGCUGGGAUUACAGGUGCCUGCCACCACGCCAGGCUAAUUUUUUUUUUUUAAGUAGAGACGGGGUUUCACCAUGUUGGACAGGCUGGUCUCGAACUCCUGACCUCAGGUGAUCAGCCCGCCUCAGCCUCCCAAAGUGCUGGGGUUACAGGCAUGAGCCACUGCUCCCGGCCUGCUGCUCACCUUUCUUAUAGUUUAGGCAGAAUGCAGAUCACAGCUUAAUAAAGAGGACUUAAUUCUGCUGGCGGCAUCAAGCACACUGUUGGUACCUCAGAUAUGUUUAUUGUUUUUAUUGCUCUUUGUAUUAAUGUGAUUGUGUUUAUUACUACUAGUCCUGUAAGAACAACGUAUCUGAAUUUUCUCCCCACUCCAUUUUGCCUGGAGGGUAUUUCUUGCCUAAUUCCCUCCUCCCCUUUCAAUUAGUUUCUCUAUCUUAACCCACCCCAACCCAUUCCAGCAUCUCUAGCCAUUUCAAAACAGUUAGGUGGAGUCUGGAUCUUGUAAGGUGCUUUUUGCUACUGUCCGUUCUGUUGAUGGUGAUUUACCUCUAGCACCUUGCUUUCUUGGAAAUGUUAUGGGCCUCCACCAAGAAGGAAGCAUUUGGUAUGGAAGUGAUCAUCACAUUAAUUUAAAUGCUUGGUCGGGGGAAGGAGUGGGGAGGUGAGUAGGGAUUGUAGGUCUAUAUAAGUCACUAUGUUGCUAGGCUGUGCAGAAUAAACUGGAAGGAAUUCAGUGAAUGACAUGAAAAGACGUGGUUUCCUCUCAGUGUGCUGUAGAUACUCUACCUGUAUCAUAUAAACAGGGAUCUCUUUGACUGUGAAAGAUAUCUGGAGAGGAUUAUGCUGAGAAAAUUAUUAAGAUGUAGACAAGAAAGAAGGACUUGAUGAUGUUUUCCUCUGUUUUAAUAUAAAUCUGCUUUCCUGAUUAUAAAAUAUGUGCACUGACAAAAAUUUAGAAAAUGUAGAAAAACACAUAAAAGAAGAAAAUCAACUUAAAGUUACUACCCAGGGAUAACAUUGUUAUUAACAUAGUGGAGUGUUUUUUCUAGUCAUUUUUCUUUCUUGUUUUUGUUUCUCAUCAAUACAAAUAAACACGUUAUCGACACUGAGUAUAUGAUUCUAAUUGAAUCAGAAUUGAAAGACAUUUAAAGGGAAACAUAAUUGGGGUGAGUUUAUUCAAUAUUUUAUACAAUUUUUAAUGCAUCUGGUAAUUCAGGCAGGAGCCAGCUUCUUCAUUGAUUUAUCUGGUACUUUCAUAUUUUACAAAUUUGGGUUCAUUGUACAUACAGGUUAUCAUGCUUUUAAAUUUAACAUUUUAAUGAUUAUUUUCCCCAUAUGUAAUCUUCAAAAUUUGACUUAACUGCUGUGUACUAUCCCAUCAAAGAGAGAGAUUGUUAUUUAUUCAACCAUUCUUCUAUUGUUACAUAUUUAGAUCGUUUCCAUUUUUAUUAUCAUCCUGUAUUGCAGUUGACUAAACAUCUAGCUAUAAAUCUUUUUGUUCUGAUUAUUUCCUAAGGGUAAAUUCAUGUAAGUAGGAGUUUGGGAUCAAUGGAUAGGAUAUAACAUUUUAAAUGCUUUUAGUUGGUAUUACAAAAUUGUCCUCCAGUGGUUCCAAUGUACAUUUCCAUCUCUCAGAUUAUUUUAAUUAAAAACAACAAUGAGAUCAUCAAACACAAGGUCCCAAGUGAAGACUUGAUUGAAUUAUCUAGUCUGAAUGAUUACACUGAACAAUAAAGAAAACAACUGCC